AUUGAACGCUGGCGGCAGGCUUAACACAUGCAAGUCGAGCGGGGUGAUGGUGCUUGCACUAUCACUUAGCGGCGGACGGGUGAGUAAUGCUUAGGAAUCUGCCUAUUAGUGGGGGACAACAUCUCGAAAGGGAUGCUAAUACCGCAUACGUCCUACGGGAGAAAGCAGGGGAUCACUUGUGACCUUGCGCUAAUAGAUGAGCCCAAGUCGGAUUAGCUAGUUGGUGGGGUAAAGGCCUACCAAGGCGACGAUCUGUAGCGGGUCUGAGACGAUGAUCCGCCACACUGGGACUGAGACACGGCCCAGACUCCUACGGGAGGCAGCAGUGGGGAAUAUUGGACAAUGGGGGGAACCCUGAUCCAGCCAUGCCGCGUGUGUGAAGAAGGCCUUAUGGUUGUAAAGCACUUUAAGCGAGGAGGAGGCUCUUUUGGUUAAUACCCAAGAUGAGUGGACGUUACUCGCAGAAUAAGCACCGGCUAACUCUGUGCCAGCAGCCGCCGUAA
rnacentral:rRNA from 1 species